AAGUCGUAACAAGGUAACCGUAGGUGAACCUGCGGUUGGAUCAUUAUUGAUUUUGUUAAAUAAUAACCAAAAGUUUAACAGUGUUUGGUGUAAAAACCAUUCGCAUACACCUGUGAACUGUGACUGUUUCUGGGUCCUAAUGCUCUCGAGCGAUAGGGCCCGACAUAUUAACUAUAUACUAAUGUCUGAAUAAAUUUAAAUAAAAACAACUUUUGACAACGGAUCUCUUGGCUCUC
rnacentral:misc_RNA from 1 species